rnacentral:rRNA from 1 species
GGGGGUACUCGAGUGGCGAACGGGUGAGUAACACGUGGGUGAUCUGCCCUGCACUUUGGGAUAAGCCUGGGAAACUGGGUCUAAUACCGAAUACACCCUGCUGGUCGCAUGGCCUGGUAGGGGAAAGCUUUUGCGGUGUGGGAUGGGCCCGCGGCCUAUCAGCUUGUUGGUGGGGUGAUGGCCUACCAAGGCGACGACGGGUAGCCGGCCUGAGAGGGUGACCGGCCACACUGGGACUGAGAUACGGCCCAGACUCCUACGGGAGGCAGCAGUGGGGAAUAUUGCACAAUGGGCGCAAGCCUGAUGCAGCGACGCCGCGUGAGGGAUGACGGCCUUCGGGUUGUAAACCUCUUUCAGCACAGACGAAGCGCAAGUGACGGUAUGUGCAGAAGAAGGACCGGCCAACUACGUGCCAGCAGCCGCGGUAAUACGUAGGGUCCGAGCGUUGUCCGGAAUUACUGGGCGUAAAGAGCUCGUAGGUGGUUUGUCGCGUUGUUCGUGAAAACUCACAGCUUAACUGUGGGCGUGCGGGCGAUACGGGCAGACUAGAGUACUGCAGGGGAGACUGGAAUUCCUGGUGUAGCGGUGGAAUGCGCAGAUAUCAGGAGGAACACCGGUGGCGAAGGCGGGUCUCUGGGCAGUAACUGACGCUGAGGAGCGAAAGCGUGGGGAGCGAACAGGAUUAGAUACCCUGGUAGUCCACGCCGUAAACGGUGGGUACUAGGUGUGGGUUUCCUUCCUUGGGAUCCGUGCCGUAGCUAACGCAUUAAGUACCCCGCCUGGGGAGUACGGCCGCAAGGCUAAAACUCAAAGGAAUUGACGGGGGCCCGCACAAGCGGCGGAGCAUGUGGAUUAAUUCGAUGCAACGCGAAGAACCUUACCUGGGUUUGACAUGCACAGGACGCCGGCAGAGAUGUCGGUUCCCUUGUGGCCUGUGUGCAGGUGGUGCAUGGCUGUCGUCAGCUCGUGUCGUGAGAUGUUGGGUUAAGUCCCGCAACGAGCGCAACCCUUGUCUCAUGUUGCCAGCACGUUAUGGUGGGGACUCGUGAGAGACUGCCGGGGUCAACUCGGAGGAAGGUGGGGAUGACGUCAAGUCAUCAUGCCCCUUAUGUCCAGGGCUUCACACAUGCUACAAUGGCCGGUACAAAGGGCUGCGAUGCCGUGAGGUGGAGCGAAUCCUUUCAAAGCCGGUCUCAGUUCGGAUCGGGGUCUGCAACUCGACCCCGUGAAGUCGGAGUCGCUAGUAAUCGCAGAUCAGCAACGCUGCGGUGAAUACGUUCCCGGGCCUUGUACACACCGCCCGUCACGUCAUGAAAGUCGGUAACACCCGAAGCCG